UGUAGUUUUUGCAGUAAUGUAGGGUUAGUAGAAUGUGGUCUUCUCAUUAACAUAACUACAUAUUGCUAAAUAAUGCAUCCCUACACACAAUAACUCAUGUCGCGAGAGGAUGCUCCGCUUAGCGGUUAUGGAGGGUAAUCGUGUUCAAAAUUCCAGACAUGUAAACGUGUAAAUAAAUCCGAAUAUUCAAUCGUGUUGGUGUGUGAGUUUGAGUAUGAAUAUGUGUAAUUCUGAUCGUGUAACCUAUAAAACUCAGGGAUAAACACUUUAGAGUUGACCCCGCAGGCCUUUAAUCUAAUUUUUCCUACAGAUGCUAAUUGCAUCUGUAAAAUGUUGUUUGUUAUUCACAUGUAAUCCUGCCACUAUAAUACAAACUUUCCAUCUGUAAUAUCUGCAUUUGUAUUUCCGUUUUCUGAAAUAUCAUGGCUGACAUCUUACAAAUUGACAAAUGUAAAGUCUACAAGUUUGUCGAAUUUUGACAUGAACAUAUAUGGAAACAGUGACGUCACCAAUAGAAAAAGGAUAGCUGCAGAUGUACUAUAGCCGAGCCUAGAGUUACAAAUGCAGAAACUACGGAUUGAAAGUGUGCAAAGUUGAAGGUUUAAUUAACUAAUGUAAACAAUUAAGUUGCAAAAUGUGCAUCAUGCGAAGGAACUGAGUCAAAUCUUACACGUAUGUAUGCCCGAGUUUUUUAAGUUACACGAUCAGAAUUACACAUACUCAUACUCAGGCUCACACAUCAACACGAUUGCAUAUUCGGAUUUACAAGUUUACAUGUCUGGAUUUUUGAACACGAUUACCCUCCAUAAGCGGUGCCCUUGUUUAAAUUCUAAUCAGAAAUUUCAAUGAAAAAAAAUGAGUAAAACCUCAUAUGUAGAAAAAAA